rnacentral:rRNA from 1 species
GACGAACGCUGGCGGCGUGCUUAACACAUGCAAGUCGAACGGAAAGGCCCUGCUUUUGUGGGGUGCUCGAGUGGCGAACGGGUGAGUAACACGUGAGUAACCUGCCCUUGACUUUGGGAUAACUUCAGGAAACUGGGGCUAAUACCGGAUAGGAGCUCCUGCUGCAUGGUGGGGGUUGGAAAGUUUCGGCGGUUGGGGAUGGACUCGCGGCUUAUCAGCUUGUUGGUGGGGUAGUGGCUUACCAAGGCUUUGACGGGUAGCCGGCCUGAGAGGGUGACCGGCCACAUUGGGACUGAGAUACGGCCCAGACUCCUACGGGAGGCAGCAGUGGGGAAUAUUGCACAAUGGGCGGAAGCCUGAUGCAGCAACGCCGCGUGCGGGAUGACGGCCUUCGGGUUGUAAACCGCUUUCGCCUGUGACGAAGCGUGAGUGACUGUAAUGGGUAAAGAAGCACCGGCUAACUACGUG